GUGAAGAACGUAGCGAAAUGCGAUAAGUAGUGUGAAUUGCAGAAUUCAGUGAAUCAUCGAAUCUUUGAACGCACAUUGCGCCCCUCGGUAUUCCGUGGGGCACGCCUGUUCGAGCGUCAUUUACACCCUCAAGCGCAGCUUGGUGUUGGGCGUCUGUCCCGCUCUCCGUAGCGCGGACUCGCCUCAAAGUCAUUGGCGGCGGUCGUGCCGGCUCCUCGCGCAGCACAUUUGCGCUUCUCGGAGGCCCGGCGGAUCGGCAUCCAGCAAGCUACUUUUUAUGACUUGACCUCGGAUCAGGUGAGGAUACCCUCUGAACUUAAGCAUAUCAAUAAGCGGAGGA
rnacentral:misc_RNA from 1 species